rnacentral:rRNA from 1 species
AUUUUUAACGGCCGCGGUACCCUGACCGUGCAAAGGUAGCAUAAUCAUUUGCCUUUUAAUUGAAGGCUGGUAUGAAUGGUUUGACGAAAACAAAGCUGUCUCUUAUUUGCUAUUUAAAAAUUAAUUUCGAUGUGAAGAAGCAUUGAUAAUUCUAAAAGACAAGAAGACCCUGUUGAGCUUUAAUAAACAUAGAAAGUAAAAGCAUGAAUCAAAGAACUAUUUUUCUAUUAAUAUUUUAGUUGGGGCGACUGAGGAACAAAAAAGCUUCCUUUUCACAAAAAAAUUAACCUAUAAUGAUCCAACACCUGUUGAUUAAAGAAAUUAGUUACCACAGGGAUAACAGCGUAAUCUUUUUUGAGAGUUCUUAUUAAAAAAAAGGCUUGCGACCUUCGAUGUUGGAUUAAGAUUCCCGGUU